CAAGUCGAACGGCAGCGGGGGCUUCGGCCUGCCGGCGAGUGGCGAACGGGUGAGUAAUGCAUCGGAACGUACCCAGUCGUGGGGGAUAACUACGCGAAAGCGUAGCUAAUACCGCAUACGCCCUGAGGGGGAAAGCGGGGGACCUUCGGGCCUCGCGCGAUUGGAGCGGCUGAUGUCGGAUUAGCUAGUUGGUGGGGUAAAGGCCUACCAAGGCGACGAUCCGUAGCUGGUCUGAGAGGAUGAUCAGCCACACUGGGACUGAGACACGGCCCAGACUCCUACGGGAGGCAGCAGUGGGGAAUUUUGGACAAUGGGCGCAAGCCUGAUCCAGCCAUGCCGCGUGAGUGAAGAAGGCCUUCGGGUUGUAAAGCUCUUUCAGACGGAAAGAAAUCGGGCGCGUGAAUAGCGUGCCUGGAUGACGGUACUGUCAGAAGAAGCACCGGCUAACUACGUGCCAGCAGCCGCGGUAAU
rnacentral:rRNA from 1 species